rnacentral:rRNA from 1 species
UACGUAGGGGGCGAGCGUUGUCCGGAUUUAUUGGGCGUAAAGAGCGUGUAGGCGGCCAGGUAGGUCUGCUGUGAAAACUCGAGGCUCAACCUCGAGACGUCGGCGGAAACCAUCUGGCUAGAGUCCGGAAGAGGAGAGUGGAAUUCCAGGUGUAGCGGUGAAAUGCGUAGAUAUCUGGAGGAAUACCGGUGGCGAAGGCGGCAUCCUGGACCGGCAUUGACGCUGAGUGAGCGAAAGCCAGGGGAGCAAACGGG